rnacentral:lncRNA from 12 species
AUGUCCACUCUCUUCGGGAGGUCUUCACAAGCCCUUGUAAGAGGACCCACUUGGUUACCAGUAAAGAAAAACCUUAUCCUCUUGCCCUGGAUCACAAGAGCGGGAUUUCUCAGAUCUCGGAACCAGACAGGCAGGGUGGACCCAGUGGGCCUCAGGAAUGGCUGGAUUCCAGCUCCCAUGCUCAUGCCUCCAGAGGGUCCCAGGUCCUGGCGCCUUGGCCGCAGUCCCCCCCCACCCCCCCCCCAGGCUUCAGGAAGCCUCAAUCCUUCUAGAAACUUAAGGUUUGAGCGGAGGCAUCCGUUUUCUAGGAACGUGCAGUGACGAGGCAUCUGUGCAAGCUUGGCUAAAGCUGUUUGCAUUUUCAUCCCCCCUGAGUCUCUGGACACGUCUCCAGAGCUGUUUGGAGGCGCAGCGGCUUGCGGGGCCCCUUCACUUGCUGCCUCAUCGCCUGCCGGGGCCUGGGGACCCACAGGGAGUGCGGGGAUCCACGUUCAACCGCGAGCACCAGACUUCUCCGCUGUUGGGAGUCUCCCUGAUGAAGAAACUAGUUCUGCUCCGGGGGCGCAGGGACCCAGAGGAGCCCCACUGUGGCCGGCGCCCCAGGGCUCCCUGGUGUCCCCCUGCACCCCAACGACUCUGGGAGUCCACGGGGACCCUGCUCCUGUUUGGGAGCAGAUCCCUUCACAUCUCUUGCCAGGGGUGGGGGUGGGUGAGGCCGGGGGUCGCACCUGUCCUCGGGGCCAGCGCCCUGGCUUCAUGACCCCUCCCGUCGCCCCGAGUCCUGGGCCCCCCACAUACCCCAGGGCUCCGAGCCGGAGGGGGCCACGCUGAGACCACACAGUGAUGUCCUCCGUGCUGUCCUCCACCCCGCCGUCUCCCAUCACCGUGUCCCUGGGGGCCCAUCCCGUGUCCCCCCAGCACCGCCAGUCCUGCUGCCUCAGGUUCUGUGCUCACCGCUCACUGUUUGCAGCAGGUGGCCGCCGGGCACGAAGGGACCGCCAGGGCCCAGUCGGCUGGACUCCGCGUCCUCCUUCCUGCUUUGUCCCGUCACAAGCCAUCCACACCUGCUGGGUCAAAAUUAGUACCUGAGGGGACUGUGGGUCUAGAAUGUUCAAAACAAGGCAACUUGUCAAUAUAGCAGGGAUUUUAGCUUUGAGAUUCUAGUUCGGGGACUGUGGGGAGGGGGCAGUGGAAUAAUAUGGAGGGAGGA